CAAUGCAAGUUUUGGUUGUUGCAAUUUGGGAGAUUAAAUGCAAGGGAAAAAUAUACAACUAAUGGCAUGAUGCUCAACAGCAUUGAUGUACAGGUAGUCCAAGUCCAUAACUCCCUGAAAGUGGCAACUGGAAAGUAGAUAGUGGUAAGCAAAGCAUAUGGUAUGCAAGCAUUCAUUGGUUGGGGCAUUAAGUAAAAGAGUCAAGAUGUAAUGAUACAGCUGUAUAGGACUCUGCUUCCCAUAAAGACAAUCCUUAAAGUUGUUAAUUAAGAUGGAUGGUAGCUUUUUAACCUCCUGAGCCUUCAUAACAUUGA